UUUUUUUUAGCUUAAAUUUAGAGCAUCAGUUUGAAGGACUGGGGGUACCUU
rnacentral:tRNA from 1 species